AAAUUGAAGAGUUUGAUCAUGGCUCAGAUUGAACGCUGGCGGCAGGCCUAACACAUGCAAGUCGAACGGUAACAGGAAUCAGCUUGCUGAUUCGCUGACGAGUGGCGGACGGGUGAGUAAUGUCUGGGAAACUGCCUGAUGGAGGGGGAUAACUACUGGAAACGGUAGCUAAUACCGCAUAACGUCGCAAGACCAAAGAGGGGGACCUUCGGGCCUCUUGCCAUCAGAUGUGCCCAGAUGGGAUUAGCUAGUAGGUGGGGUAACGGCUCACC
rnacentral:rRNA from 1 species